rnacentral:rRNA from 1 species
GAUGAACGCUAGCGGCAGGCUUAACACAUGCAAGUCGAACGGUAACAGGUCUAGCUUGCUAGAUGCUGACGAGUGGCGCACGGGUGAGUAACGCGUAUGCAACCUACCUUUUACUGGAGAAUAGCCCAGAGAAAUUUGGAUUAAAACCUCAUGAUAAUAUUUAUUCGCAUGUUUAAAUAUUUAAAAUUUCGAUGGAAGGAGAUGAGUAUGCGUCCCAUUAGCUUGUUGGUAAGGUAACGGCUUACCAAGGCAACGAUGGGUAGGGGGCCUGAGAGGGUGAUCCCCCACACUGGUACUGAGACACGGACCAGACUCCUACGGGAGGCAGCAGUGAGGAAUAUUGGUCAAUGGACGAAAGUCUGAACCAGCCAUGCCGCGUGAAGGAUGAAUGCCCUACGGGUUGUAAACUUCUUUUAUAUAGGAAGAAACCUCUCUACGUGUAGAGAGUUGACGGUACUAUACGAAUAAGGACCGGCUAACUCCGUGCCAGCAGCCGCGGUAAUACGGAGGGUCCAAGCGUUAUCCGGAUUCAUUGGGUUUAAAGGGUGCGUAGGCGGAAUAAUAAGUCAGUGGUGAAAGCCUGCAGCUUAACUGUAGAAUUGCCAUUGAUACUGUUAUUCUUGAAUGUGGUUGAAGUAGGCGGAAUAUGACAUGUAGCGGUGAAAUGCAUAGAUAUGUCAUGGAACACCAAUUGCGAAGGCAGCUUACUAAACCAUGAUUGACGCUGAGGGACGAAAGCGUGGGUAGCGAACAGGAUUAGAUACCCUGGUAGUCCACGCCGUAAACGAUGAUCACUAGUUGCUGGCGAUACACUGUCAGUGACCAAGCGAAAGUUAUAAGUGAUCCACCUGGGGAGUACGGUCGCAAGACUGAAACUCAAAGGAAUUGACGGGGGCCCGCACAAGCGGUGGAGCAUGUGGUUUAAUUCGAUGAUACGCGAGGAACCUUACCAGGGCUUAAAUGUAGAACGACAGUUUGGGAAACCAUUCUUUCUUCGGACGGACUACAAGGUGCUGCAUGGUUGUCGUCAGCUCGUGCCGUGAGGUGUCAGGUUAAGUCCUAUAACGAGCGCAACCCCUAUCCUUAGUUGCCAGCGAGUAAUUCGGGGACUCUAAGAAAACUGCCUGCGCAAGCAGUGAGGAAGGUGGGGACGACGUCAAGUCAUCACGGCCCUUACGUCCUGGGCCACACACGUGCUACAAUGGUAGGUACAAAGGGCAGCCACUUGGCGACAAGGAGCUAAUCUCUAAAACCUAUCUCAGUUCGGAUUGGAGUCUGCAACUCGACUCUAUGAAGCUGGAAUCGCUAGUAAUCGUAUAUCAGCCAUGAUACGGUGAAUACGUUCCCGGGCCUUGUACACACCGCCCGUCAAGCCAUGGAAGCUGGGGGUACCUGAAGUCGGUAAACCGCAAGGAGCUGCCUAGGGUAAAACUAGUAACUGGGGCUAAGUCGUAACAAGGUAGCCGUACCGGAAGGUGUGGCUGGAACACCUCCUUU